rnacentral:rRNA from 1 species
ACGGCUCAGUAACACGUGGACAACCUACCCUACAGAAGGGGAUAACCCCGGGAAACUGGGGAUAAUACCCUAUAGACUAUGGAUGCUGGAAUGCUCUGUAGCCGAAAGGUCCGCCGCUGUAGGAUGGGUCUGCGGCCGAUUAGGUUGUUGUUGGGGUAACGGCCCAACAAGCCUGUAAUCGGUACGGGUUUUGGGAGCAAGAGCCCGGAGAUGGAUCCUGAGACACGAAUCCAGGCCCUACGGGGCGCAGCAGGCGCGAAAACUUUGCAAUGCGGGAAACCGUGACAAGGGAACUCUGAGUGCCCGUAAAAUCGGGCUGUCCAUCGGUUUAAAUAACCGGUGAAGAAAGGGCCGGGCAAGACCGGUGCCAGCCGCCGCGGUAAUACCGGCGGCUCGAGUGGUGGCCACUAUUACUGGGCUUAAAGCGUUCGUAGCUGGUUUGUUAAGUCUCUGGGGAAAUCUUCCGGCUCAACCGGAAGGCGUCUCAGGGAUACUGGCAGACUAGGGACCGGGAGAGGUGAGAGGUACUCCAGGGGUAGGAGUGAAAUCCUGUAAUCCUUGGGGGACCACCUGUGGCGAAGGCGUCUCACCAGAACGGCUCCGACAGUGAGGGACGAAAGCUGGGGGAGCAAACCGGAUUAGAUACCCGGGUAGUCCCAGCUGUAAACGAUGCGCGUUAGGUGUAUCGAUGACCACGAGUCAUCGAGGUGCCGAAGAGAAAUCGUGAAACGUGCCGCCUGGGAAGUACGGUCGCAAGGCUGAAACUUAAAGGAAUUGGCGGGGGAGCAC